rnacentral:rRNA from 1 species
AUUGAACGCUGGCGGCAUGCCUUUCACAUGCAAGUCGAACGGUAACAGGUCUUCGGAUGCUGACGAGUGGCGAACGGGUGGGUAAUACAUCGGAACGUGCCCGAUCGUGGGGGAUAACGAAGCGAAAGCUUUGCUAAUACCGCAUACGAUCUAAGGAUGAAAGCAGGGGACCGCAAGGCCUUGCGCGAACGGGGCGGCCGAUGGCAGAUUAGGUAGUUGGUGGGAUAAAAGCUUACCAAGCCGACGAUCUGUAGCUGGUCUGAGAGGACGACCAGCCACACUGGGACUGAGACACGGCCCAGACUCCUACGGGAGGCAGCAGUGGGGAAUUUUGGACAAUGGGCGAAAGCCUGAUCCAGCCAUGCCGCGUGCAGGAUGAAGGCCUUCGGGUUGUAAACUGCUUUUGUACGGAACGAAAAGACUCUGGUUAAUACCUGGGGUCCAUGACGGUACCGUAAGAAUAAGCACCGGCUAACUACGUGCCAGCAGCCGCCGUAA